rnacentral:misc_RNA from 1 species
GAUGAAGAACGUAGCGAAAUGCGAUAAGUAAUGUGAAUUGCAGAAUUCAGUGAAUCAUCGAAUCUUUGAACGCACAUUGCGCCCCCUGGUAUUCCGGGGGGCAUGCCUGUCCGAGCGUCAUUACAACCCUCAAGCUCAGCUUGGUGUUGGGCCCCGCCGCCCCGGCGGGCCCUAAAGUCAGUGGCGGUGCCGUCCGGCUCCGAGCGUAGUAAUCCUUCUCGCUCUGGAGGUCCGGUCGUGUGCUCGCCAGCAACCCCCAAUUUUUUUCAGGUUGACCUCGGAUCAGGUAGGGAUACCCGCUGAACUUAAGCAUAUCAAUAAGCGGAGGA